rnacentral:rRNA from 1 species
CAGGUGCUGCAUGGCUGUCGUCAGCUCGUGUCGUGAGAUGUUCGGUUAAGUCCGCUAACGAGCGCAACCCUCACUGUGUGUUAUAUGUGUCACACGGGACCGCCGGUCUUAAGCCGGAGGAAGGUGGGGAUGACGUCAAGUCAGCAUGGCCUUUAUAUCCUGGGCUACACACACGCUACAAUGGCCAACACAAUAGGUUGCUAAGCCGCGAGGUGGAGCCAAUCCAUAAAGUUGGUCUCAGUUCAGAUUGUAGGCUGCAACCCGCCUGCAUGAAGAUGGAGUUGCUAGUAACCGCAGGUCAGCUAUACUGCGGUGAAUACGCUCCCGGGUCUC